rnacentral:rRNA from 1 species
CAGAGGGUGCAAACGUUGUUCGGAAUUACUGGGCGUAAAGCGCGUGUAGGCGGUUAUGCAAGUCGGGUGUGAAAGCCCCGGGCUCAACCCGGGAAGUGCAUUCGAUACUGCGUAGCUAGAGUACUGGAGAGGAUGGUGGAACUCUGGGUGUAGAGGUGAAAUUCGUAGAUAUCCAGAAGAACACCGGUGGCGAAGGCGGCCAUCUGGACAGAUACUGACGCUGAGACGCGAAAGCGUGGGGAGCAAACAGGAUUAGAUACCCUGGUAGUCCACGCCGUAAACGAUGGGUGCUAGGUGUCACGGGUAUUGACCCCUGUGGUGCCGAAGCUAACGCAUUAAGCACCCCGCCUGGGAAGUACGGCCGCAAGGCUA